rnacentral:tRNA from 2 species
GCGUCCAUUGUCUAAUGGAUAGGACAUAGGUCUUCUAAACCUAUCGUAUAGGUUCAAAUCCUAUUGGACGCA